rnacentral:rRNA from 1 species
AGUGAACGCUGGCGGUAGGCCUAACACAUGCAAGUCGAACGGCAGCACAGUAAGAGCUUGCUCUUACGGGUGGCGAGUGGCGGACGGGUGAGGAAUACAUCGGAAUCUACUUUUUCGUGGGGGAUAACGUAGGGAAACUUACGCUAAUACCGCAUACGACCUACGGGUGAAAGCAGGGGAUCUUCGGACCUUGCGCGAUUGAAUGAGCCGAUGUCGGAUUAGCUAGUUGGCGGGGUAAAGGCCCACCAAGGCGACGAUCCGUAGCUGGUCUGAGAGGAUGAUCAGCCACAUUGGAACUGAGACACGGUCAAGACUCCUGCGGGAGGCAGCAGUGGGGAAUAUUGGACAAUGGGCGCAAGCCUGAUCCAGCCAUACCGCGUGGGUGAAGAAGGCCUUCGGGUUGUAAAGCCCUUUUGUUGGGAAAGAAAAGCAGCAGGUUAAUACCCCGCUGUUCUGACGGUACCCAAAGAAUAAGCACCGGCUAACUUCGUG